rnacentral:rRNA from 1 species
GCUAACUACGGGACAACGGGCGUGGUAAUGCGUAGGGUGCGAUGGUUAGCCUGAAUGAGUGGGCGUAGAUGGGUCGGAGGCGGUUGUGCGCGGCUGUCGUGAAAGUCCGGGGGUUAACCCCGGAAUGGCGGUGGGUACGGGCAGACUAGAGAGCAGUAGGGGAGACUGGAAUUCCUGGUGUAGCGGUGGAAUGCGCAGAUAUCAGGAGGAACACCGAUGGCGAAGGCAGGUCUCUGGGCUGUAACUGACGCUGAGGAGCGAAAGCAUGGGGAGCGAACAGGAUUAGAUACCCGGGUAGUC